rnacentral:rRNA from 1 species
AUUGAACGCUGGCGGCAUGCCUUACACAUGCAAGUCGAACGGUAACAGGCCGCAAGGUGCUGACGAGUGGCGAACGGGUGAGUAAUACAUCGGAACGUGCCCGAUCGUGAGGGAUAACGCAGCGAAAGCUGUGCUAAUACCGCAUACGAUCUACGGAUGAAAGCGGGGGAUCGCAAGACCUCGUGCGGACGGAGCGGCCGAUGGCAGAUUAGGUAGUUGGUGGGGUAAAGGCCUACCAAGCCGACGAUCUGUAGCUGGUCUGAGAGGACGACCAGCCACACUGGGACUGAGACACGGCCCAGACUCCUACGGGAGGCAGCAGUGGGGAAUUUUGGACAAUGGGCGCAAGCCUGAUCCAGCCAUGCCGCGUGCAGGAUGAAGGCCUUCGGGUUGUAAACUGCUUUUGUACGGAACGAAAAGGUUUCUUUUAAUACAGGGAACUGAUGACGGUACCGUAAGAAUAAGCACCGGCUAACUACGUGCCAGCCGCCGCAGUAACAC